GGGAAUUUUCCGCAAUGGGCGAAAGCCUGACGGAGCAACGCCGCGUGAGGGAGGAAGGUCCUUGGAUUGUAAACCUCUUUUCUCAAGGAAGAAAAAAAUGACGGUACUUGAGGAAUAAGCAUCGGCUAACUCCGUGCCAGCAGCCGCGGUAAUACGGAGGAUGCAAGCGUUAUCCGGAAUCAUUGGGCGUAAAGCGUCCGCAGGUGGUCCAGUAAGUCUAGGGUUAAAGACGGAAGCUCAACUUCUGAAAGGCCAAAGAAACUGCUGAACUAGAGGCAGGUAGGGGUAGCGGGAAUUUCCAGUGUAGCGGUGAAAUGCGUAGAGAUUGGAAAGAACAUCGGUGGCGAAAGCGCGCUACUGGGCUGAGCCUGACACUGAGGGACGAAAGCUAGGGGAGCAAAAGGGGUUAGAUACCCCUGUAGUCCUAGCCGUAAACGAUGGAGACUAGGCGUAGCUUGUAUCGACCCAAGCUGUGCCGAAGCCAACGCGUUAAGUCUCCCGCCUGGGGAGUACGCACGCAAGUGUGAAGCUCAAAGGAAUUGACGGGGGCCCGCACAAGCGGUGGAGUAUGUGGUUUAAUUCGAUGCAACGCGAAGAACCUUACCAAGGCUUGACAUCUGACGAAUCCCCUUGAAAGGGGGGAGUGCCUUCGGGAGCGUCAAGACAGGUGGUGCAUGGCUGUCGUCAGCUCGUGUCGUGAGAUGUUGGGUUAAGUCCCGCAACGAGCGCAACCCUCGUCCUUAGUUGCCAACAGUAAGAUGGGAACUCUAGGGAGACUGCCGGUGACAAACCGGAGGAAGGUGGGGAUGACGUCAAGUCAGCAUGCCCCUUACGCCUUGGGCUACACACGUACUACAAUGGUAGGGACAAAGGGCAGCGACCCCGCGAGGGCAAGCGAAUCUCAUCAAACCCUACCUCAGUUCAGAUUGCAGGCUGCAACU
rnacentral:rRNA from 1 species